UGGAACCUUUUGGUCUAUAUAUAUAUUUUGACACGCGCAACAUUUAUCUCCACAACACAAGAUUUAAGCAUUAGCACUAAAUCUGUUGAGCAAGAUCUUUCCAUAUAGAGUAGCAGAAAUGGCAGGAGGAAGAAGAGAAAUGAUCAACGGAGGAAAUUUGCUUAGGAAAAUCGAGUAUGGCCGUCAGAUUCCAAAGAGGGGACAAGUGAAGGUGGCGAUUGUUUCUGGAUUGGCUCACUCUUUAUCUUCUAUAUUUUCUUUUGGCGGCCGUCAACAAUCUUGCCAAACGACGCAGUUUUCUUGAUUGUUUGUGAGAGAGUGCAGCUUUGGUUGAGGGUGGAGAUUUUGAUGUUUCACUUUCAAUAAUUCCAGAUUGUAGAGCUUUUUAUGCAUCAAGUUAUGAAUUUACAUUCAUUCCAGUUUCUUGCUUUCUUUAAACAACAUUACUUCGUGUCACUUUUCUCGACUCUAUUUGGAUCAUUUUCAAACUAGAGAUAAACGUACGAACUAUUCUAUGUUAUAUCCUAUGACUGAUGUAUCAUACGAUGCGGUAAUGAACUUUAUAAUGGAAAAAUUAAGGAUGUUCAAAAUUUUCCAUGCCUGGCUAUGCAGAGUACCUGGUGCAUCUUCAGAAAUUAGAUUGGAUUGGGAUGGUGGUAUGGAGUAGAAAGCAGAAGAAUCCGGCUUCUCUAAGAUCGGAAGCUUAGAUGGUCUCUUCACAGGAACUGGAUCGACUUAUGGAACUCAAACUCAACUGACGGAUAUGAACAAAUCUUGUAACUACAGCGAGAUAUACAAACACGAAAGCAUUCCUGUAUACAGAAAAGGAUUAUAAUCAGUAAAAUAACUGAUUUCUGCAGAAUCUAAUUUUAAUAUAAAGGGGAAAUUAAUGAUCUAUCACUAUAUUCUUUCCCAGUGAUAUUGGAUAGCAUCGAUAGCCUCCUACGAUGACGAGCAAAGUGAGGCGUUACACGCCUGCGUUGGGCCAUCGACCCCCAUGAACGCUCUACGUCUUCCCAAGACUGUCGACUCUCAUGAGAUUUCCUACUUUGCCAAUCCAACACUUCACUAUAAAAUCAUCUAUGAAUUGAUGAGAUGCACGUAAUGGCUGGCACGGAUACAACCAACCAACGGGUAGCUGAAGACUCCCCACUCAAAAUGUGGGGUAGUGAAAGAGGCUACGUGAGACACGUGACACCGUAACCUUUCAACCGUUGCACUGCUCCACUCCCUUAUAAAUACCCUCAACGCGAAACAG
rnacentral:lncRNA from 1 species